rnacentral:rRNA from 1 species
UAGGGAAUCUUCGGCAAUGGACGAAAGUCUGACCGAGCAACGCCGCGUGAGUGAAGAAGGUUUUCGGAUCGUAAAACUCUGUUGUUAGAGAAGAACAAGGGCGAGAGUAACUGUUCACCCCUUGACGGUAUCUAACCAGAAAGCCACGGCUAACUACGUGCCAA